GACUGUAAGAAAAGGCACGUCUACACGUGGAUGCUUUGAUAGCUAGACUGCAAGUCCGCAAAAAGCCAACUAGCCAAAGCUUAGACUGACAGAUGGAUUCUUUGAAGGAUCAUAAAGAAUCAACUGGUAUAAGCCCCGAUGUUCAGAUGUUGGAAGGGAUCAAGAACACAUUGAGUUGUACACUAUCAAAAGUUAUAACACGACAUAACAAACCAAAGAAGGCGCAUAUAACUAGAGUUGCCCUGCAGGAUUAUAUUUGUACCGGAGAAGAUAUUGCCAUUGUCGAAUCCAUCAAAUCAUCAUCUGGAAAUAGAAUACUCGUGGAUAUCGACGAUGCAUUCGUAGAUAAGUUCCAUUUUGAAUGCCAUCUACAGCCUAACGAGUUCUUAAAUGAUGAAGUACACCUGCAUAAAGCUGUUAUAUAACAGAACCCUAUAAUUUAAUCAUAAUUUAUAACUUGUAAUUAUAGGUCAUAAGCACUUAUAUCCAUUGUAUAAGGGCUGAAGAGCAUCUAUAUUAUAGGGCUGGUGCAAAAGUCUUCCUAUAGAAUACUUACAUUUCUAACAUUUUAAAGCGUGAUGGCGAGCUUGCGAUGAACAAAAUAGAUCCUAGCCAUGACACCAUCGAAAAAAGGGUGGACAAUUAUCUGAAGCAUGACAUGGUAACGAUCGACACCAUACCUAUCAAUUUUAUGUUAAUAUACCUAUGGUUCAUACUUACGACAAAUAUUUUCUUUAGGUAUUCAUUCCAAUUAACAUCAUACGAUGCCAUUGGUACUUAGCAGUUGUGAACGCUAAAAAAUGUGAGAUACAUGUUCUUGACUCGCUAGGGCCUAUAAUGAAUCGCAACGAUCUCACUCUUAUUAUAUGUGGAUUGGAGAAAUAAAUAAAUAUUACAUCACAGUUGAAAGAGCUUAAAGACCACAAGUGGCAUGACCUCAAGGUUGGAAGAUGGCCUGUUAUAGAGAAAUUCCCAAAGGCAAAGCAAAUUGACGGCGUCUCUUGUAGUCUAUUCAUGCUAAACUUCAUGUAGUACUGGACAGGAGAUACACUAUCUAAUAGUGUGACUCAGUGUGAUAUGACGAAUUUUAGACUAAAACUAGCAGCAAUUUUGUUGGACUCGAAACUAAACACGAGGAAAACUUGUUCAUAUUCCAAACAUGACAGCAACGAAGAAAAAAGUUCAGAUGGUGUUGUGACUAUAGAGAGUCGUACCAAGCGUAGCAAAAAAAUUUCGAAGACAUCACAUCAAACUGAAGAUCAAUCGUUACAAUAUGUUCUUCCCAUUGCUAUCAUACCGACAAAUGCAUCUGAGUUAGUAGGCGAGCUUUGCAAAUUUAUCAUGUCUAUAGACCAUGCUGAGACUUUGGAGUACGUCUAUCUAAUUCCAUAUAAUAUGUAUA